rnacentral:lncRNA from 1 species
CCAGGGUCAAAUGUGACGAUCCACGCCAAGCAACGGGCGAUAUUUAAAGGAUGGCGUGACCUUUGGUGGUUGCUGGUAGCCAUCUGCAAUCCUUCACUCUCACUAAAAAGCUGGCUCUUCUUUUUCAGGCUUCCAGCUGUUUCUCCUAUCCAGAGGUAGCCAAUCGUAGACAGAUGGGACAUUUCCUCGGCGUGCUGUGUCGACAUUACUGACAUGCACCUCACUUGAACAGCGAACAUCCAGGCUUCUCAACACCUUUGAGUCUGAAGCAAGUCCAGCUCAGGAAGGCGGGAGAUCCAGUCUAUUUGUCGGUUUUUCCUUGGAGGGAAGGAUGAUGAUGAGCCUGAGAAGAAAAUAUGAAAUUUUCCCUGGGUUAUAAGAUGUUGAAUAUUGGAGUGAAAAUAAAAAGAAGAAGAGAUAGAAGUGAUUUGUUAUA